AUUGAUUGCAAGAUUGGGCCCAUUGCCCUCACAGAUCAUGCUAUAGUAGAGUUACAUGUUGAUAUCAACUCUGAAAAUGUGAGGAAGCGUAGAUUUAGACUCAACACCAUGCUAUUACAAGAUGAGAUAUUUAGCCGAUCACUAGCAGAUGAUCUUAGAUCCUUUUUUUUUAGAUCGACAUAGGCUCAACUGAAGAGGUUUCCACAGUAUGGAGAACCUCUAAAGCACAUAUUAGAGGGAUACUAACUUGUCUAAAAAGAAGAGAGAAGAGGUGACGCAGUAAAAAGAUUAGAAACAGAUGUGGUUUGGCAAGACAUUUCACAGAUUUCACACAUUUAAAACUGCCUGCACAUUUACAUUUCAGUUGCAUGAAAUGUAUAACAAAAAUUCAGAAUAUGUUCUGUUUAGACCCGUUUUAAUGAGGGAGGUGAGAAGAAAGGCAGAAUGUGCUCUGUUUAGACCCGUUUUAAUGAGGGAGGUAGGAAGAAAGGCAGAAUAUGCUCUGUUUAGACCCGUUUUAAUGAGGGAGGUGAGAAGAAAGGCAGAAUGUGCUCUGUUUAGACCAGUUUUAAUGAGGGAGAUGAGAAGAAAGGCAGAAUGUGCUCUGUUUAGACCAGUUUUAAUGAGGGAGGUGAGAAGAAAGGCAGAAUGUGCUCUGUUUAGACCCGUUUUAAUGAGGGA
ensembl:lncRNA